GAGAAAGUAUGGUGGCCAAACGACCAUCUUUAGGGGUCAAAAGGUCAUAAAAGGGAGCGCACUUCCACCAAACUGGUACGCGUUUAAAUUGGAGGUGGGACGUUCACCGUUCGGAGACUAAAGGUCAUAGGGCCCCGAGAUUUGAGAUUCUGGCAUCUCAGGGGCCCCUCACCCGAGGCCCCGAAGCACGUAGCCGUAGGACCUUGCGAAAAAAAAAGCGCACUAGGGCCUCGCGCUUUUGACUGCACGCUCUGGGGGCCCCCAGGAGCCACCGAGCCAAGUUUCGGGCUCCUGGGACGUUUCUAAAAAAAUCCCACCUGCAAUUUAUUUGAAUGGGUUUGGCCUAGCGGUUUCGUGGACACGGCUCGCGAGGGUCCGAUCGGGCCGAUUUUGGGAUAUUUGUCUCGGGGGGACCCCCUUAACCGGGCAGGAAAGUAUGGUGGCCAAACGACCUUCUUUAGGGGUCAAAGGGUCAAAAAAGGGAGCGUACGUCCACCAAACAGGUACGCGUUUAAAUUGGAGGUGGGACGUCCACCGUUCGGAGACUAAAGGUCAUAGGGCCCCGAGAUUUGAGAUUCUGGCAUCUCAGGGGCCCCUCACCCACGACCCUGAAGUACGUAGCUGUAGGACCUCGGGAAAAAAAGUGCUUUGCACUAGGACCCUGCGCUUUUGACUGCACGCUCUGGGGGGCCAGAGGAGCCACCGAGCCAAGUUUCGGGCUCCUGGGACAUUUCUAAAAAAAAAUCCCACCUGCAAUUAAUUUGUGAAAAAAUGUGAAAAAAAAGUGAAAAAAAUGGCAGCUGGGAUGUUUUCACCUAAAGAAAUGUACAUUUCCAAUUUAUUCAGCGGGACCAUCGUAGUGCUCCCGUGGACAUUCAUUUUUAUGCAAAUUCUACAGUAUUAA
ensembl:lncRNA